UUCAAUAUCCGUAUCAUGGGAAAAUAGUUUUUCUACCAGGAAUGUACUCUCAUUAUAGGACAGCAUAGUGGAGAGCAGUGUUGCUGUAGACAUCCACGUUCCAGCAGAACGAUGCCACAAAUCUCUUCCUGGCAAUGUACAGCCUCCUCAAAGGCAUCCCAUUUUGUUUAUCACCAAUGUCAAUGUGGCAUUUUCAGUUCACCAGGAGAGUCCCCACUUCCACAUGGCCAUUGGCACAGGCCAAACGUACAGCAGCCCUGUCCAUCCACAGCUGAAGGGAUAGAGAAACUGCCAUACAGAUACACACAGAGUAUGCUUCAGCCAUAAAGCUUUGGGAAAUCCUGUCAUUCGCAGCCACAUGGAGAAACCCAGAGGACAUUAGGUCCAAGAAAAUGAGCCUGGUGGAGCAAGUCCCACACUGCGUGACCUCAGGCAUGUGGACUCCAAAAAGCUUUAUCUCCUGCCCAUCCACAGAUGAAGGGAUCAAGAAACUCUGAUAUAUAUACACAAAGGAAUGUUCUUUGGCCAUCAAGAUAAUUAAAGGAUGUCAUUUGGAGGAACAUAGAUGGCCCGCCGAGGCUGCGGCUGCCUCAUCCUGCACUGUGGAUGGAAGCCGCUGAUCUGACAGGAAGUGGAGCUCAGGUGGUAAUGCUCGCUCUUGCUGUGCUGCCAGGUUCUUAACAGGCCAGGGAUGAUACUGGUCCAGGGGUGGGGGAGCCCUGCUCCAGAUGACAGCCAGAGUAGUCUUAAAUGGACCUUCUGCUUUGCACAAAGGUGGUAUGCAAUCAGAAGACGUCUGAGGAGACAAGUAUGCAUCUCCCACCACAACAUUAUAUGAUGCUUGGAGUAAAAACAGUCCUCCCUGUUCCUACCCACGAAUGUAUUAUUCAAUAAAGAUUGCUGCCAGGCAUGGUGGCUCAUACCUGUAGUCCCGCACUUUGGGAGGCUGAGGCUGGGCAGAUCGCUUGAGACCAGGGUUUGAGACUAGCCUGGACAACAUGGUGAGCCACCAUCUCUGCAGAAAUAAAAUAAAAUAAAAUUAGCCAGGUGUAGUGGCCUGUGCCUAUAGCCUCAGCUACUUGGGAGGCUGAGGCAGGAGAAUAGCUUGAGCCCUGGAAGUCCAGGCAACAGUAAGCCAUGAUGGUGGCACUGCACUCCAAACUGGGUGACAGAGUAAGACCCUGUCUUAAAAAAAAAAAAAAAAGAUUGCAUUAUUCAAUCUUUUUUCCCAUAUAUAAUUUAUAUAGUUACAUAAUUACAUUCUAGUUUUUGCACAUGCCGAGAACUACAUAUAAUUUAGUAGUAUGCUGUUUUCACUUAUAUAUCACAUAUAUUUUCCUAUAUAGGUAUAUAAUAUCUAUAUUUGUCCUUUUCCAUUUGACUGCUGUGUUUCUUAAAUUGAUAUACUGUGAUCUAAGCCAGUUACAGAUUGGUAUGGAUUUAAAUUACUUCCUAUUUUCUGUUUUAUUAACAAUAAACACUGUUAUGAUAUAGUUUUCAUUUUUGUUUGUUUGGUUUUUGAUCAUUUCCUGUGGAAGUAUUCUCAAAGCUGAAAUUACUGAAUUAGUGGGAACAAACAUGGCUGUCUUUUUAAAUGUUUUGUCAGCUUACUCUCCAAAAGGAUUACACCAAGAGGUAUUGCCACUAGCAGUAGUUAAGAGUUUGUCUCACCAUGAUUACAAAUUUUUCAAAAUUGGUAGCUUAUUCACACUGAUUGGAACAUAUGAAUUGUUCAAUAUUUUAUAAUAUGUAUAUGGGAAAACCCUUAUAUAGAUUAAUCAAGAACAUAUAAGUAUGUAAUAAAUUCCAUACUGGAUUACAUCGAUGAUCCUUCUGGCUCUGCAUCUUGAAACCUAGUUAAGCUCUUUUAUGUUAAAUUCACCCGGAUAGAGUUUUGGAAAAUACUUGCUUUUUAUUUCUGAAAGUUUUUGCAAAGGAUUAGGUUUGGUUUUAUGAAAAGUUUCGUCUCUGAAAUUAUCUGCCUAGACUUUGGACAAGGUGUUCUAUUAAUUGUCAAAUACAAUUGAAUUGAAUCACAUUUUUCUUUCUAGGUUACUUUAUAAGGUGUUCCUACAGGUCAUAAAAAAAUUGCCCACAAGGAGCCAAAUUACUUUAUUCAUGGAUCUAAUAUUGCUUUAUAGUAUUGCUAUAUAGGUUUAGAUAAUUAUGUUGUUUCACCUUCAGUAGUCAUAUUUUAGUUAUAGGUAAAGUCAUUCCUAGUUAAAAUAGUAUGUAAAGCAAACACAUUUGAAAUCACCAGUAUUCGACAUGUUUUGCUAUUACUUACAAGUAACAAUUUACAUUAUUUUAAUGUUGUAAAUAGUUGUGGAAUUUAGUCAUUUUCUGUAUAUUGAAUUAAUUACUGGCAUUAAAUAAGUAUCUUCUCUCUUUAGUAGCUUAACUCAUUUCCUGAAUGUACCCAUUUGAUAUCAUACUUUUGAUUGGUAAAGUCACAUGUAAAUAUCUUUUUUACUUUUUAUAAAAUAAUGUCAUAAAAAUAUGGAAGAUUUUCUGGCAGACAUUAUUAGCUAACUGAUGACAUUUUCAGUAAGUGCCAAAAAGUAAUAUAUGAAUAUAUAAAACAUCAAAUAUUUAGCAUAAACUUUAUAAAUAGCAGAAAUGAUUAGUAGAAGAAAUUACUCACAUAUUGUCUGCUAAAAUAAAUAUUAAAAUUUGACUACAUGAAAAAAUAUAGUUUCUUGAGCUGAUCAAAUAAAUUGAUCAUAAUUCUUCCUCG
rnacentral:lncRNA from 1 species